rnacentral:rRNA from 1 species
AUGCACGCUGGCGGCGUGCCUCAUCCAUGCCAGUCGCGCGAACAAACGAGGAGCUUGCUCCUCUGACGUUAGCGGCGGACGGGUGAGUAACACGUGGAUAACCUACCUAUAAGACUGGGAUAACUUCGGGAAACCGGAGCUAAUACCGGAUAAUAUAUUGAACCGCAUGGUUCAAUAGUGAAAGACGGUUUUGCUGUCACUUAUAGAUGGAUCCGCGCCGCAUUAGCUAGUUGGUAAGGUAACGGCUUACCAAGGCAACGAUGCGUAGCCGACCUGAGAGGGUGAUCGGCCACACUGGAACUGAGACACGGUCCAGACUCCUACGGGAGGCAGCAGUAGGGAAUCUUCCGCAAUGGGCGAAAGCCUGACGGAGCAACGCCGCGUGAGUGAUGAAGGUCUUCGGAUCGUAAAACUCUGUUAUUAGGGAAGAACAAAUGUGUAAGUAACUAUGCACGUCUUGACGGUACCUAAUCAGAAAGCCACGGCUAACUACGUG